rnacentral:rRNA from 1 species
UACGUAGGGUGCGAGCGUUGUCCGGAAUUACUGGGCGUAAAGAGCUCGUAGGUGGUUUGUCGCGUUGUUCGUGAAAUCUCACGGCUUAACUGUGAGCGUGCGAGCGAUACGGGGUACGACUGGAGUACUGCAGGGGAGACUGGAAUUCCUGGUGUAGCGGUGGAAUGCGCAGAUAUCAGGAGGAACACCGGUGGCGAAGGCGGGUCUCUGGGCAGUAACUGACGCUGAGGAGCGAAAGCGUGGGGAGCGAACAGG